CAAUCCCUAGUGAUUUUAUUUUGAAAAUGUAUGGCUAAUUUCCGGAGCCAUUUGCUGUCAAAUCCUUUGGUGAUGGAUGGCGACACACUUUUAAUACAGCAGCGAUACCUGAUACCUUAUUUAAAGGUAAAGUUUUUCAUUUGUUUUUUCUAGUUUAUUUGUUUUUACAACCAAAUGUGGUCGCGCUAUUCCCACAAAGUGGAAAAUCGAAGAACCACGGGAGAGGUUCCACAUUAAAGCAGUUUGGAAGAUGGUGAGGACGACAGCAAGCUGAAGUUUGUCAGCGGAGGUGACAUCCAGACCUUCACUGAUCCAGAGUGUCUCCCCUUUCCUAUGAGCAGAACAAGACUGUUGUGAAAACCACUGCGGGAGAACUAGACAUUCAGCGAGUAUGCACCACUGCUACGCUGCAUAUCAUCACACUUAUAGUGUGUAAGAUCAGAACAGAGAGGAGCAGGGGAGAAGAGUGUCGUCUGCUGUAUCAACAUGGACACGGCUUUGAGUAUGGAUGUGACUCCAGGUUCAGACUUAGGACAGAGAAUCAGACUGUGUUCCUCCACCUGACCAAUUUAACAUCAGUGGACAGUGGGACCUACACCUGUGAGUGUUCGCAUUUUCAUGGGACAGACGCUCUUCAUCUCAUCAUCACUGUGGAAGGAGAUGAGGAGGCCAGCCUUUCUCCUGUGGCAAAGCUCUGUUAUACCACUGUGAUUGGUAGUGUUACUGCGUUUAUCAUUGUAGCUGGAGUUUGCCUUGGACUUAUCCAUAGGAAAAAUCAUUGCAGAGACCAUACAAGAUCAGGACCGUGUGGAUUGUCUGUAACCCCCUGCUCUUUGCACAGAGCUGUCCCAGAUGAGCCCUACACAGACCUCCAGCAGCCAGCAAGUGAUCUCUACCAGACCAUGUCCCGAGUGCAACAUCAAUGUAACGCCAGCACAAAUUCAGUCAGAGACAAUACAGCGACUACACGUUUGGAACAGGAAAUAAAUGGAAGAGACGCUGAACAAAACUGUCACAUCUAUGAAAACAUCUAAAACAACAGUCAAGAUAAAUGCACAACUGUAGAAUCUGGGACAGUGGAAGUUGGCCACAGUUUUUUGUGUUUAAAGAAGCAGUGUGGAUGUUAAUGGAUGUUUCCCUGUAUGUUGAGAUUGCACCACUCUGUUUCUGUUAGAGUGGUAUACUGACACUUUAUCCCUUUCAUUUAUAAGACAAGGAAAUACCCCAGAGCAUAUGGUGCCCCAGAUAUUGUAUAUCUCUGGCUGCUCUGAUCAGCAGUUCCCAUAAUUUGGGACAUUCACCUCAAAAAAUCCAGUGUAUUUCUUCUUAAGCUUUUAUUAAUUAAUGAUUUACUUGGUUAAAUCAUUGCAGGAGUCUCAAAUAUCAAGAAUUACUUGUGCAGUGAACUCAACACUACACAGAAUUAUGAGUUUGGGUGUUACCACCAAUAUACAGUAUACUAAUUUGAACUACUAAUAUUGUUAAAUGCCCCAAACAUACAUAUUGUCUGAACAUGUUUUGUGAAUUAAACUAGGUGAUUUACUUUGAAAAUACUCGAGACUUUAAGCUCUGACUCUCUGUUGAACAUAACAGCUGUAUGGACCAGUGUCGGAUGUUAUCCCCAUGAUGAUACAUGAUAGUGUUUACGGAUUGCAUUCAUACGCCUCUGCACUGUUUCAACCAUCAGACUUCCCAGAGAGGCUAUUGUUGCAUACUAACAUGAAAGUAGAAGCAGUCAGGGUCACUUCUGUUUUAGAACACUUCACAUCAGCUUAUACUAACUACACCUUAACAAAGAGAGUUUGAGGUUUUCAUAUAGACAAUUAAAGAUCAUUUCAGAGAGCUGGCUUAGUAUUCUGUGCUCUGCUAGCAGCCGCUACGCUUUUGUUCAGAUCUCUUGGCCAGUAUGGGUGGAUGGAAACAGUGGUUUGUUCUGCUUCUGCCACAGUGUGUGUGUGUUGACAACAGAGGUACUGUGUAAAACCUACUUUACAUCUUGUCAGAUUUAUUCUAGUAGUUGUUUUUUAAUAGAAAUACGAAGCAGAAUACUGUUAUUUUAAUGUGGUUUGAAUGUAAAAUGUGAUCCACUGAAAGUCUGCUUCCUUUUGAUUGCAGUGACUGUUGUAAAAACCAUUGGGAGAGGGCCAGACAUCACUCCAGUGUGCACCAGUGCAAACUUGGGUGACAUUUUAUUAGUAAAAUGUGGGAUCAGCACAGAGACACAUGGUGGGGAUGGGUGUUUCCUGCAGUACACAGAUCACAAGCAAUUUGACCACGAAUGCGACACAAGGUUCACAUUGCUAAGAAAGAAUUGCACUAUAUUUAUCUACCUAAUGAGUUUAACCCCAAUGGACAGUGGGAACUACACCUGCGAGUGUUCCUAUGAAAGAGGAACACAUGUUAUCCAUCUUAAUAUUACUGUGGAAGGUACGUUUAUUUGCUAACAAUACACCUGUGUAAUCUUUUCUGAUGAUAUCUCUGCAAGAUCUUGUGGAAUUUCGAAUGGAGUAAAAGUCAGUUUCUCACAAGGGCUGAGUACGGAUCGUCCUGACUUUCUGUGUGACAAUGUUUAGCAGAUGAGAAGGAGAGCACUUUUUCUGGCCUGAAGCUCAUUGCUACACUCGUCAUUGCUGUCUUUGCGAUGUUCAUCAUCAUAGCUGGGAUACUCUGUGAACACAUGCUGAGAGGAAAUCAUCACAGAGAAAACACCAGGAGACCAGGAGCGUCUGAAUUAACCAGAUCUGAAACUGCUUGGCCUUUGGACCGAGAUGAUCCCUACGUAAGCCUUCAGCGGCCAGCCAGUGAUGUCUACCAAACUGUCUCCUCAGGUUACCUUUACUGUGAUACUGACGCUGACCCAACCAACACUUAUGCAACGAUUGCCUGCUUUAAUAACCAGGAUGGAAAAGAGACAAAUUUAGACCCAAUCUACAGAGUCUAUGAAACUAUCUAAAACUAAGCUGGAUAGCAUAGCAACGAUACCACUGUAGUUUAAAUUACCAGAUGGUUAGUUCUGAUCAUGUUUUGUACAAUACUGCCAAAAAUGCAUAAAAUACACAUCCAUUGAUUGAACAUUUAACCUCUAAAACGCUUGUAAGAUUUGCUCUGUUGAUAAAGAAUUACCAUAAGGUAAAAUGUAAAAUUGUUUUGAUUGCGUCUUCCUUUGAACGUAUGGAAUCUAAUGCAUUCAAUAAGUGUAAAACCUUAGUUUAAACAUGGGGGGACGUCAGUGAGGCAUGUUACAUGAUCUACUACUUGUGACUGUAGACCUGAUGAGCAGAGUGUGACGUACCACAGAGAGUGGGGCAUUUCCCAGUACACAAGGUGUAAACAUCAAGCAUUGCAUCUUUAUUUCUUGUACAUACAUAAGAUGAUGUGUUGUAGCCUCCUACACAGGAAGCUGUAUCAUUGUUAACAUUGGUUUUAUGCUGUCAGCAAUACUAUACAUAUUUCCUCUACAUUCUUCAAAGGAAACUGGCCAGCAUAAGGUGUUGAGCAGGGUGGAACGUGUCUGAAUGGACUCUCUUGAAAUCGUCCGAGCGAUGCUGUGUUCAUGUAAUACUAGAAUUAUUGUGAUCGUGAGAUCCUAAUCUAUAAAUAGUGUCCAUGUCAAAACAUUGGAGCUGUAAUUAUGACUGGGAAUAGCUGAUCAAGCAGACUGGACGCCUCGCAUCAGACAGAGAGAACCUCACACUAGCUCAAGCCUCAGCAAGAGCUGAGAAUUUGAGGUUUAGGUUGCUGUAGAAUGGUGCAGAGAGGUGUGUCUGUCCUCACUCCUACAGUAAACCAUACUGUACACUGCCAGCAACAGUUGCACUGUUGCAUAAAUGUCCUGACCAGAAUGGGGAGAUGGAGACUCUGCUGUGUUCUGCUUCUGCCACUAAUUUUUUACAUGGACUGCCAAGGAUUAAUUCUAGAGACUCAGCAGCACCUUGUGAAAACCAUUGGGAAAGAACCAGAUGUCACUCCAAUAUGCACCAAUGAUACACAACAUGUCGUCAUAAUGAUAGUGUGUUGGAUCAGAACAGAGAGAAACUGGGGAGAAGAGUGUCGUCUGCUGUAUAAACAUGGACAGGACUUUGAGUAUGGAUGUGACUCCAGGUUCCGACUCAUGACAGAGAAUCAGACUGUGUUCCUCCACCUGACCAGUUUAACAGCAGAGGACAGUGGGAACUACACCUGUGAGUGUGCACAUCUUGGUGGAACAUUUAUUCUCCAUCUCAACGUCACUGUGGAAGGGAAAGUGGAUGAAAACAGCAGCAGUUCUACAGAAAUACCUUUCUCCUAUGUUGUGCUUGGUGUAAUUAUAUUCAUCAUUCUAACUGGAGUUAUUCUGGGAUUCAUCUACAGAAAACAUCUCCACGGACAACAAUCAGAACCCAUAACCAGUGAUCCAGACAUGGAACCAGAAGACAUAGAGCCGUACAGCACCUUCAUUCAGAGGGAGAACGGGCUUUAUUCAGUUGCCAGAAUACACAAUGUUAAAACUAAUGCUAAUAAUUCAAAUGUGUUUGCCAGAGAUGACACAAAUUUAGGGAUGCCUCUGUAGAGUUUUCACAUAACAAUAUUUACUAUGCAUGUUGAAUAUUAAAUACCAAGUGAAACAGGGCCUGCUGUCUGUGAGCUAACUAUGUUACUUUGCCAAUUAUUUCACUCUCUCAUUUUAUGUCCUUUUAAAACAUUAAAUUUUCUUUGUGAAUUUUGUUUUAAAAGCUCUGGGAACAUACUGUCUAAACAUAUGAUGAUAGAUUAUAUAAUAAGUUUUCAGUUUUUACCUUCAAAGCUGAAAUAAUUAAAUAUUUUAAUAUAUGUUUAAAACAAAUAUCUUGUGUAUUUUCAUGAGACACAUUGAGGAUUUCACUCUAAACCACUCUGUGAAUUAAAAUAAUGUGCAGUAUCUCUCCAGUGAUCUUCAGCAUGCUGUAUAAUUAGUGAUGUACGCAGAUGUAGUUUGGUGUUUUAGGUAUUUUUAACAUCAGACGCUGUGUCUCAGGCAGAAGUUGUAGUUAAUCAGGUGUCAGAUUGACCCGACAUCUAUCUCAGCUCCCUGCACAAACAUCCUGUCCUUACCCACAUAUACCUUGAGGCUUUCUCUGCUGCCUCCAUGACGUUGCAGAUGCCUUCUUGCCUCCCUCGCACUUCAGUGGUCUCCAGCAUGCAGAUGGCUUUGAAGAGAUGCAGCGAAGGUGUAGAAGAGCUGCUGCACUAAUUCUAAAAUUAACCUUAUAUCUUUUUGAAUCUGUAAAUGUAUUCUGUAUGUAUUAAGGCCUUUUAAUAUUUGCUUGCUUUUCAUCAUUAUUAAGAUAACACAUUCAUCAAUAAAGAAUAAAAUAAGGUUGCU